AGAAUCAACGCUGGCGGCGCGCUAACACAUGCAAGUCGAACGAGAAAGUGGAGCAAUCCAUGAGUAAAGUGGCGUACGGGUGAGUAACACGUGGAUAACCUGCCCCUUUGUGGGGAAUACCGUUGGGAAACCGACGACAAUACCGCAUAAGCUCGAGAGAGGAAAGCAGCAAUGCGCAGAGGGAGGGGGCCGCGGCCGAUUAGCUAGUUGGUAGGGUAAUGGCCUACCAAGGCUGUGAUCGGUAGCCGGCCUGAGAGGGCACACGGCCACACUGGCACUGAAACACGGGCCAGACUCCUACGGGAGGCAGCAGUGGGGAAUCUUGCACAAUGGGGGAAACCCUGAUGCAGCGACGCCGCGUGAGCGAUGAAGCCCUUCGGGGUGUAAAGCUCUUUCGGCAGGGAAGAUUAUGACGGUACCUGCAGAAGCAGCUGCGGCUAACUACGUGCCAGCAGCCGCGGUAAUACGUAGGCAGCAAGCGUUGUUCGGAGUUACUGGGCGUAAAGGGUGCGUAGGCGGUUCUGUAAGUAUGGUGUGAAAUCUCCCGGCUUAACUGGGAGGGUGCGCUAUAAACUGCGGGACUAGAGUGUGGGAGAGGAAAGUGGAAUUCCUGGUGUAGCGGUGAAAUGCGUAGAUAUCAGGAGGAACACCGGUGGUGUAAACGGCUUUCUGGACCAUAACUGACGCUGAGGCACGAAAGCGUGGGUAGCAAACAGGAUUAGAUACCCUGGUAGUCCACGCCCUAAACGAUGCAUAUUUGGUGUGGGUCAUUCGGUUCGUGCCGGAGCUAACGCGUUAAGUAUGCCGCCUGGGGAGUACGGUCGCAAGGCUGAA
rnacentral:rRNA from 1 species